rnacentral:rRNA from 1 species
UACGGGGGGGGCAAGCGUUGUUCGGAAUUACUGGGCGUAAAGGGCUCGUAGGCGGCCAACUAAGUCAGACGUGAAAUCCCUCGGCUUAACCGGGGAACUGCGUCUGAUACUGGAUGGCUUGAGUUCGGGAGAGGGAUGCGGAAUUCCAGGUGUAGCGGUGAAAUUCGUAGAUAUUAGGAAGAACACCGGUGGCGAAGGCGGCCCACUGGAUCGGUACUGACGCUGAGGUGCGAAAGCGUGGGGAGCAAACAGG